AGCAUCGAUCUAAUAUUGAGAGAACACACGAGCAGAUUACCAGGUCGUCAGCUCCCGCGAACAAUUUAGCAGUGAAGAGGACAACGCAGAGGUACGCCGCCACGACAUGGACAGAGCAAGAUACUGCCAGAAAAGAUCUUACUUCUUGGUGAGCUUCCAGGGAUAUUAGAAUCUCUCAAAGAGGCCCUGGAGUCCAUGAAACGAGGUUCAUUCAGCUCAAGCCCAAGAUCAUCUGAGCUGUGUCUUCCUGAAACCUCAGAAAUGAUUUCCCUCGGUGGUUCUGAUGUCCCCAAAGAGUCUAUGGCAGACUGAACAAGUCACGAACUUCUCUUUUUACUCACGACUUGGCCACUUUACUUUUUGCUAUUGUAUUUCACUUUGUUUGACUUAAAGGAUUAGUUCACUUAAAAAAA